GGAACAUCUACAGACUAUUUCAGCUUGGAGCUUGAACGUAACGAUAUAGCUAGUUGUGUAACUUUGAUUAGCAUCCAAAAGCUAACUUGCUCAGUGGGCGUGAGCAUCAGAAGCUUGCAUGCAAUGCAUCCUGGUACAUGUAGGCCACUUGGCUCUAAGAGCAGGAGAACUCGGUCAAUAUAGUACGCACUGUGGAGUUUAUUGCUUCACUUGUCAAUUCCAUCAGCACUGAUUGGACAUCCACAUAAAACACCACAGGAUUUCCGUUUAAGAUACAGCGACAUGUGACAUAGAGAUAGAAAUAGUGCAGUUUGAUGCAUCAGUAAGAACAUUUAAAUGCCUCGGCUGGAGAAAAACUCACCCUUCCUCGUCAGCUAAAGAAAGCCGUAAACUACUCUGGAGAGGGAAGCAAUGAACAUGACAUUUAAUAAACUUAGUGCUUGAAUCUUUAACCUCUUGCACCCAACUCUCCCUUCAUUUUUUAACAGAGAACAAAUACCAUAGAGAUAAAAAAGCUGCCUCUUGUCAAAUUCUCUGUCACAGCAGGAGCUGUUUUCAUUGUGUGGGAGAAUUCCAGUGUCGAGGCUACAUGUGAGGUUUUCCUGGCCCUGCAUGCCUGUCUCCUGAAGGAACAGACACAUUAAUAGCACCAAUGCUGGUCACUGCGCUCCACUCUGAGAGGGCCCAGUUUAAACCUUCUCCACCCACGCCUCCUGCCUCCUUUGACGUCUCUGCUGUGUGGGCUCCCCCAGAGUGUUCAACUAAUGACCAAAAACACUGCUUGGCUUGGGAUUUUCAACAUUGUCCACUGGGAUUCUUACAAGGCUAGAUGAAAGAUGAGAAGGAAAAUGAAAGGAAGUGGUAACACUUCUUGCAUUGCAUUUUCACAGGAAGUCAUUAUUUACUGCUCUGUCUGUGAAAGGCUGGAAUGGCGUGGGUGUCUCUUGACCUGUAAGAUUUUAGUGCUGAUACAUCUGAUCCCAAAAAUCCCCUCAUGACGGAACUGGCAGUCGGAAUAGUGAUAAUAUGAAUGAAUAGUUCUCUCUGUCUCUUGUUCUUUCAUUAAAAUCCGUAAAUGUUUUACCUUUCAGAUCUCAGACAUAGUCGAGAGCAAACACCAGCAAUCAGAGGUUUAACCUCCAAAUCCCCUUAAACAAUGUUAAAAUUCCCGUCUCUGCUUAGUAUUUGUUGUCUUGCCUAGAGUCACUCGAAAAGCAAUUAACGCUGCAUUGUUUCAACAAGUGAUACCACUGACACACUGCCUUGUGUGUCUAGACAGCGAGAUACAGCUAUCUAAAUGACUGCCUGAUUUCUUGUAGAGCAGAGAGGUGGAUUCCUGAGCCCAUUGUUUGGAGGACAGUGCAAGACCUUGAUGUGGGCUCUGAGAGCAGAUAAAAUGCCUGCAGAAGGAUGUGUGUUUGCUCAUUAUGGAAAGCAGUUCAGGAAACACAUGGCCUCACCGACCACUGAUGAGCCCUCUUCGUUUCCCCUGAUUGCACAGGAAACAGGGCAGGUACAUACCGUAAACUGCAUCCCCACAGAUCUGUGAGGAAUUGUCGGAUUGAAUCAUGCAU
rnacentral:lncRNA from 15 species